GUCGGCCUGCGCGGAAGAAGUUAACGGGGCUAAACCAUGCACCGAAGCUGCGGCAGCGAACGUAUCACCCAAGACAACUUUACGGAGUUGACGAUUGACGGAGCGAAGCGACGUCAAAGCGUUCAUUAAAGUCGAGUUGGCUUAGGGAUACGUUCGUUGGGUAGGGGAGCGUUCUGUAAGCCUGUGAAGGUGUGUCGUGAGGCAUGCUGGAGGUAUCAGAAGUGCGAAUGCUGACAUAAGUAACGAUAAAGCGGGUGAAAAGCCCGCUCGCCGGAAGACCAAGGGUUCCUGUCCAACGUUAAUCGGGGCAGGGUGAGUCGACCCCUAAGGCGAGGCCGAAAGGCGUAGUCGAUGGGAAACGGGUUAAUAUUCCCGUACUUGGUGUUACUGCGAAGGGGGGACGGAGAAGGCUAUGUUGGCCGGGCGACGGUUGUCCCGGUUUAAGCGUGUAGGUGUGUGUUCCAGGUAAAUCCGGUUCACUUUAACACUGAGGCGUGACGACGAGGCACUACGGUGCUGAAGCAACAAAUGCCCUGCUUCCAGGAAAAGCCUCUAAGCAUCAGGUAACAUCAAAUCGUACCCCAAACCGACACAGGUGGUCAGGUAGAGAAUACCAAGGCGCUUGAGAGAACUCGGGUGAAGGAACUAGGCAAAAUGGUGCCGUAACUUCGGGAGAAGGCACGCUGACACGUAGGUGAAGUGAUUUACUCAUGGAGCUGAAGUCAGUCGAAGAUACCAGCUGGCUGCAACUGUUUAUUAAAAACACAGCACUGUGCAAACACGAAAGUGGACGUAUACGGUGUGACGCCUGCCCGGUGCCGGAAGGUUAAUUGAUGGGGUCAGCGCAAGCGAAGCUCCUGAUCGAAGCCCCGGUAAACGGCGGCCGUAACUAUAACGGUCCUAAGGUAGCGAAAUUCCUUGUCGGGUAAGUUCCGACCUGCACGAAUGGCGUAAUGAUGGCCAGGCUGUCUCCACCCGAGACUCAGUGAAAUUGAACUCGCUGUGAAGAUGCAGUGUACCCGCG
rnacentral:rRNA from 1 species